rfam:Clonorchis sinensis DNA, contig: CSINDRAFTv2.0_contig_4038.
UCCCACGUGGUCUAGCGGUUAGGAUUCCUGGCUCUCACCCAGGCGGCGGCCCGCGUUCGACUCCCGGCGCGGGAG